rnacentral:piRNA from 1 species
AGAAUCUAUACUUUCUCUCUCUGGAGUCU